AUUGAACGCUGGCGGCAGGCUUAACACAUGCAAGUCGAGCGGGGUGAGGUGCUUCGGUACUGAUCCUAGCGGCGGACGGGUGAGUAAUGCUUAGGAAUCUGCCAUUUAGUGGGGGACAACAUUCCGAAAGGAAUGCUAAUACCGCAUACGUCCUACGGGAGAAAGCAGGGGAUCUUAGGACCUUGCGCUAAAUGAUGAGCCUGAGUCGGAUUAGCUAGUUGGUGGGGUAAAGGCCUACCAAGGCGACGAUCUGUAGCGGGUCUGAGAGGAUGAUCCGCCACACUGGGACUGAGACACGGCCCAGACUCCUACGGGAGGCAGCAGUGGGGAAUAUUGGACAAUGGGCGGAAGCCUGAUCCAGCCAUGCCGCGUGUGUGAAGAAGGCCUUUUGGUUGUAAAGCACUUUAAGCGAGGAGGAGGCUACCUAGAUUAAUACUCUGGGAUAGUGGACGUUACUCGCAGAAUAAGCACCGGCUAACUCUGUGCCAGCAGCCGCCGUAAUAC
rnacentral:rRNA from 1 species